UACGUAGGGGGGCUAGCGUUGUCCGGAAUCAUUGGGCGUAAAGCGCGCGUAGGCGCCAGAUAAGUCCGGUGUGAAAGUCACAGGCUCAACCUGUGAAUGCCGCUGGAAACUGUCUGGCUAGAGUCCGGAAGGGGCGAGUGGAAUUCCUGGUGGUAGCGGUGAAAUGCGCAGAUAUCAGGAGGAACACCAAUGGCGAAGGCA
rnacentral:rRNA from 1 species